UGCAAGUCGAGCGGAAGGCCCUUCGGGGUACUCGAGCGGCGAACGGGUGAGUAACACGUGAGUAACCUGCCCCUGACUCUGGGAUAAGCCCGGGAAACUGGGUCUAAUACCGGAUACGACCACUCCACGCAUGUGGUGGUGGUGGAAAGUUUUUUCGGUUGGGGAUGGGCUCGCGGCCUAUCAGCUUGUUGGUGGGGUAGUGGCCUACCAAGGCGACGACGGGUAGCCGGCCUGAGAGGGCGACCGGCCACACUGGGACUGAGACACGGCCCAGACUCCUACGGGAGGCAGCAGUGGGGAAUCUUGCGCAAUGGGCGAAAGCCUGACGCAGCGACGCCGCGUGGGGGAUGACGGCCUUCGGGUUGUAAACCUCUUUCAGCAGGGACGAAGGUGACGUGUACCUGCAGAAGAAGCGCCGGCUAACUACGUGCCAGCAGC
rnacentral:rRNA from 1 species